rnacentral:rRNA from 1 species
CCUACGGGUGGCAGCAGUAGGGAAUAUUGCUCAAUGGGGGAAACCCUGAAGCAGCAACGCCGCGUGGAGGAUGAAGGUUUUCGGAUUGUAAACUCCUUUUGUUAGAGAAGAUAAUGACGGUAUCUAACGAAUAAGCACCGGCUAACUCCGUGCCAGCAGCCGCGGUAAUACGGAGGGUGCAAGCGUUACUCGGAAUCACUGGGCGUAAAGAGGGCGUAGGCGGGAUAGCAAGUCAGAUGUGAAAUCCUAUGGCUUAACCAUAGAACUGCAUUUGAAACUGUUAUUCUAGAGUAUGGGAGAGGUAAGUGGAAUUCUUGGUGUAGGGGUAAAAUCCGUAGAGAUCAAGAGGAAUACUCAUUGCGAAGGCGACCUACUGGAACAUAACUGACGCUGAUGCGCGAAAGCGUGGGGAGCAAACAGGAUUAGAUACCCUUGUAGUC